rnacentral:rRNA from 1 species
AUUGAACGCUGGCGGCCGGCUUAACACAUGCAAGUCGAGCGCGCGGCGGGCGGGUGUGUAAUGUCCGGGAAAAUGUCUGUUGGAGAGGGGUAACUACUGGAAACGGUAGCUAAUAUCGCAUGCCCUCUGGUGUGACCCGAUGGGAUUAGCUAGUAGGUGGGGUAAUGGCUCACCUAGGCGACGCUCCCUAGCUGGUCUGAGAGGAUGACCAGCCACACGGGAACUGAGACACGGGCCGGACUCCUACGGGAGGCAGCAGUGGGGAAUAUUGCACAAUGGGCGCAAGCCUGAUGCAGCCAUGCCGCGUGUGUGAAGAAGGCCUUCGGGUUGUAAAGCACUUUCGGCGUUGAGGCGUUACCCGCAGAAGAAGCACCGGCUAACUCCGUGCCAGCAGCCGCGGUAAUAC